AAAUUGAAGAGUUUGAUCAUGGCUCAGAUUGAACGCUGGCGGCAGGCCUAACACAUGCAAGUCGAACGGUAACAGGAAGCAGCUUGCUGCUUUGCUGACGAGUGGCGGACGGGUGAGUAAUGUCUGGGAAACUGCCUGAUGGAGGGGGAUAACUACUGGAAACGGUAGCUAAUACCGCAUAAUGUCGCAGGACCAAAGAGGGGGACCUUCGGGCCUCUUGCCAUCAGAUGUGCCCAGAUGGGAUUAGCUUGUUGGUGAGGUAACGGCUCACCAAGGCGACGAUCCCUAGCUGGUCUGAGAGGAUGACCAGCCACACUGGAACUGAGACACGGUCCAGACUCCUACGGGAGGCAGCAGUGGGGAAUAUUGCACAAUGGGCGCAAGCCUGAUGCAGCCAUGCCGCGUGUAUGAAGAAGGCCUUCGGGUUGUAAAGUACUUUCAGCGGGGAGGAAGGGGAUAAGGCUAAUAA
rnacentral:rRNA from 1 species